GAAGGCACACUGAGGGUCGGAUGUGUUUGUGUGUGUGUUUUCUUCUUUUUUUUUCCUUUUCUUUCUUUUUUUUCCUCUUUUUUUCCCCCUCUUU
rnacentral:ribozyme from 1 species